CCUACGGGAGGCAGCAGUGGNCUUUAUUGGACAAUGGGCGAAAGCCUGAUCCAGCAAUGCCCCUUUGUGUGAAGAAGGCCUGCGGGUUGUAAAGCACUUUCAGGAGGGACGAAGCGAAAGUGACGGUACCUCCAGACCAACCCCCGGCCAACUACGUGCCAGCAGCCGCGGUAAUAA
rnacentral:rRNA from 1 species